GAGCACUGUUUCGGCAAGGGGGUCAUCCCGACUUACCAACCCGAUGCAAACUGCGAAUACCGGAGAAUGUUAUCACGGGAGACACACGGCGGGUGCUAACGUCCGUCGUGAAGAGGGAAACAACCCAGACCGCCAGCUAAGGUCCCAAAGUCAUGGUUAAGUGGGAAACGAUGUGGGAAGGCCCAGACAGCCAGGAUGUUGGCUUAGAAGCAGCCAUCAUUUAAAGAAAGCGUAAUAGCUCACUGGUCGAGUCGGCCUGCGCGGAAGAUGUAACGGGGCUAAACCAUGCACCGAAGCUGCGGCAGCGACACUAUGUGUUGUUGGGUAGGGGAGCGUUCUGUAAGCCUGUGAAGGUGGCCUGUGAGGGUUGCUGGAGGUAUCAGAAGUGCGAAUGCUGACAUAAGUAACGAUAAAGCGGGUGAAAAGCCCGCUCGCCGGAAGACCAAGGGUUCCUGUCCAACGUUAAUCGGGGCAGGGUGAGUCGACCCCUAAGGCGAGGCCGAAAGGCGUAGUCGAUGGGAAACAGGUUAAUAUUCCUGUACUUGGUGUUACUGCGAAGGGGGGACGGAGAAGGCUAUGUUGGCCGGGCGACGGUUGUCCCGGUUUAAGCGUGUAGGCUGGU
rnacentral:rRNA from 1 species